ACAGGGUUCCGAUCUUAGACGGUAUAAAUCUCUCCUUUCUGUGCUAAACUAACCUCCGGCCCUCCCGUUGACCAGUUCUAAAGAUGCCAGACUUUUGUGCUGCCUUUGGAUGUUCCAAUGAAAGGAAUGAGAAAACAAAAAAACAAGGAAUAACAUUUCACAGAUUCCCAAACGAUAAAUUGAGGCGAAAUGCAUGGAAAGCAGCAGUGAGGAGGAAGGAGUUUGAGCCAACACACCGUACAGUGCUUUGCAGCUUUCAUUUUAAACCUGAGGAUUUUGACAGGACUGGACAGACAGUCCGUAUAAAGGAAGGAGUGAUCCCAUCUAUUUUUAAGUUUCCUGAUCGUCUUUCCAAACUACCUAGGUCUACAUCAUCAAGCAGGACAUCAAACAAGGCAGCUACAGAAUGUCCAGGUCCAGGGUCAGGUAGGCCUACUGACAGAGGACUUGGAGAACUCGACCUCAGUGAGAGAUCAAUCUCUCUACCUAGUACAUCCAGGUCACACAGGACAUCAAAGGCUACAGAAUUCCCACCUCCACAGUCCUGUACACCUGUCCGAGGACUCAGUGAGGUGUCAAUCUCACUAUAUAGUACAUCCAGGUCAAGCAGGACAUCAAAGGCAGAAUUUCUACCUCCACAGUCCUGUACACCUGUCCGAGGACUUAGACCAAUCGACCUCAGUGAGGAGUCCAUCUCAGAUCAUGAUUAUGCCUUGGACCCAGCUAAAGCAAAACAGAAGCUAGCUGAGUAUCAGAAGGAGGUGGAAAAAUUACGACGGCAAUUAAGAAAUGCCAGGGACAGGGAAAGAAGACAUAAGAAGACUGUGAACUCCUUGUUAAAGGUUUUAAAAGGCAAAAAUAUAUUAACAAAGGAACUGCUGAAAAACUUGAGGACUUCAUAUCAGAGAAAAGUUUAGCUUGACAGGAGCUUCAACUGCAGUGUGCUGGCACUCCCUGCCCAGUACUUCUCCAAUACACCAGCGCUAUGGCUAGACCAAGCGUCGGUUUUCAUGUAGUAGAUGGAUGGAACAACAGUCCAAGCACUUCAAGAGUGUUGUGGUCCGCUGUGGCAUUGCUCCAGGAAACGCAGGCAACGCCCAAGCACAGGAUGGCCCCAUGUGUCUGUCAGCUGUUGACAUGUCAUCUGUGGUACCAUCUGAGGACUAUGACAUUGCAUCCUCUCCUUUUGAGAAAGUCGCUGGUGUUGAGUUAGACCAUAGCUAUUUACAAACUAGCUUUGGGUGUUUAACCAAGAACACUCAUGGCAUGAGGCAGCUUACAUGUGAUGUAUGCCAUAGCAGUUUGGUUUCUAAGGCUGUACCAGCAUAAUAACUACCACCCGGUGACCUUGACAGACAUUUCCAAGGACCAAUUCAUAGGUAGGUCGACUGAGCUCUGCAUCCGAUGACCAUCAAACAUUUAAUCAAUAGCACAUCAGUGCAUUGUGUCUCUCUCAAACAGUGUUGUCAAAGCAGUCAGGUUUGGAAGACAUGUUUUUGUAUUUUUAAGUAUAGUUUUGGGGCUUUUUGCCUUCAUUCAGAUAGGAUAGAAGAUGGGCAGGAAGCGAGGGGGAGAUAGAGAUGGGGUAGGAUUGGGAAAUGACCCGGGCCGGACUCCAACACCGGUACCCGUGGGCACUUGGACUCGUGUGAAACGGGAGCUGUAGCCACUUCUGCCACAGCGUUUCUCAUAUGGAGAUACAUUUGCAGAUUAUUUUGCAACAAAUAACUUCACCUCAAAACCACUGUGUUAUUGCCAACUUCCUGCACGUUGUAGGCCAAUUUCCUUUAAAAAUUAAAGAUGUAUAUCAUUUUCAUCAUAAUGUGAAGGGAAAUUGCUAUCCCUUUAAAUUGAGUUUAAUUUGUUUUCAUCUGAUUAAGCUUUGAGCGUUUUGAGCUUUGAACUUUUCAUUUGAGAAAAACUUUUUAAUAAAACAUGCUUCAUGAAGUACCCCAUUGUAAGGGAUCUGAUGUAUUUUUGUAGCAUUCAUUGUAGUAACUACUCCAGAAAUAACUUUCCUAAACUGAGUAUAUAUUUGUGCAUUAUCUCCUCACUACCUUUUAAAUUAAACCAUGCUUGUUCAGUCACCUAGUUUCAAUGAGACAGCUCUGGUCCAGCAAAGUAAUU